UUAAGCGACUAAGCGUACACGGUGGAUGCCCUGGCAGUCAGAGGCGAUGAAGGACGUGCUAAUCUGCGAUAAGCGUCGGUAAGGUGAUAUGAACCGUUAUAACCGGCGAUUUCCGAAUGGGGAAACCCAGUGUGUUUCGACACACUAUCAUUAACUGAAUCCAUAGGUUAAUGAGGCGAACCGGGGGAACUGAAACAUCUAAGUACCCCGAGGAAAAGAAAUCAACCGAGAUUCCCCCAGUAGCGGCGAGCGAACGGGGAGCAGCCCAGAGCCUGAAUCAGUGUGUGUGUUAGUGGAAGCGUCUGGAAAGGCGCGCGAUACAGGGUGACAGCCCCGUACACAAAAAUGCACAUGCUGUGAGCUCGAUGAGUAGGGCGGGACACGUGGUAUCCUGUCUGAAUAUGGGGGGACCAUCCUCCAAGGCUAAAUACUCCUGACUGACCGAUAGUGAACCAGUACCGUGAGGGAAAGGCGAAAAGAACCCCGGCGAGGGGAGUGAAAAAGAACCUGAAACCGUGUACGUACAAGCAGUGGGAGCACGCUUAGGCGUGUGACUGCGUACCUUUUGUAUAAUGGGUCAGCGACUUAUAUUCUGUAGCAAGGUUAACCGAAUAGGGGAGCCGAAGGGAAACCGAGUCUUAACUGGGCGUUAAGUUGCAGGGUAUAGACCCGAAACCCGGUGAUCUAGCCAUGGGCAGGUUGAAGGUUGGGUAACACUAACUGGAGGACCGAACCGACUAAUGUUGAAAAAUUAGCGGAUGACUUGUGGCUGGGGGUGAAAGGCCAAUCAAACCGGGAGAUAGCUGGUUCUCCCCGAAAGCUAUUUAGGUAGCGCCUCGUGAAUUCAUCUCCGGGGGUAGAGCACUGUUUCGGCAAGGGGGUCAUCCCGACUUACCAACCCGAUGCAAACUGCGAAUACCGGAGAAUGUUAUCACGGGAGACACACGGCGGGUGCUAACGUCCGUCGUGAAGAGGGAAACAACCCAGACCGCCAGCUAAGGUCCCAAAGUCAUGGUUAAGUGGGAAACGAUGUGGGAAGGCCCAGACAGCCAGGAUGUUGGCUUAGAAGCAGCCAUCAUUUAAAGAAAGCGUAAUAGCUCACUGGUCGAGUCGGCCUGCGCGGAAGAUGUAACGGGGCUAAACCAUGCACCGAAGCUGCGGCAGCGACACUAUGUGUUGUUGGGUAGGGGAGCGUUCUGUAAGCCUGUGAAGGUGUACUGUGAGGUAUGCUGGAGGUAUCAGAAGUGCGAAUGCUGACAUAAGUAACGAUAAAGCGGGUGAAAAGCCCGCUCGCCGGAAGACCAAGGGUUCCUGUCCAACGUUAAUCGGGGCAGGGUGAGUCGACCCCUAAGGCGAGGCCGAAAGGCGUAGUCGAUGGGAAACAGGUUAAUAUUCCUGUACUUGGUGUUACUGCGAAGGGGGGACGGAGAAGGCUAUGUUGGCCGGGCGACGGUUGUCCCGGUUUAAGCGUGUAGGCUGGUUUUCCAGGCAAAUCCGGAAAAUCAAGGCUGAGGCGUGAUGACGAGGCACUACGGUGCUGAAGCAACAAAUGCCCUGCUUCCAGGAAAAGCCUCUAAGCAUCAGGUAACAUCAAAUCGUACCCCAAACCGACACAGGUGGUCAGGUAGAGAAUACCAAGGCGCUUGAGAGAACUCGGGUGAAGGAACUAGGCAAAAUGGUGCCGUAACUUCGGGAGAAGGCACGCUGAUAUGUAGGUGAAGUCCCUCGCGGAUGGAGCUGAAAUCAGUCGAAGAUACCAGCUGGCUGCAACUGUUUAUUAAAAACACAGCACUGUGCAAACACGAAAGUGGACGUAUACGGUGUGACGCCUGCCCGGUGCCGGAAGGUUAAUUGAUGGGGUCAGCGCAAGCGAAGCUCUUGAUCGAAGCCCCGGUAAACGGCGGCCGUAACUAUAACGGUCCUAAGGUAGCGAAAUUCCUUGUCGGGUAAGUUCCGACCUGCACGAAUGGCGUAAUGAUGGCCAGGCUGUCUCCACCCGAGACUCAGUGAAAUUGAACUCGCUGUGAAGAUGCAGUGUACCCGCGGCAAGACGGAAAGACCCCGUGAACCUUUACUAUAGCUUGACACUGAACAUUGAGCCUUGAUGUGUAGGAUAGGUGGGAGGCUUUGAAGUGUGGACGCCAGUCUGCAUGGAGCCGACCUUGAAAUACCACCCUUUAAUGUUUGAUGUUCUAACGUGGACCCGUAAUCCGGGUUGCGGACAGUGUCUGGUGGGUAGUUUGACUGGGGCGGUCUCCUCCUAAAGAGUAACGGAGGAGCACGAAGGUUGGCUAAUCCUGGUCGGACAUCAGGAGGUUAGUGCAAUGGCAUAAGCCAGCUUGACUGCGAGCGUGACGGCGCGAGCAGGUGCGAAAGCAGGUCAUAGUGAUCCGGUGGUUCUGAAUGGAAGGGCCAUCGCUCAACGGAUAAAAGGUACUCCGGGGAUAACAGGCUGAUACCGCCCAAGAGUUCAUAUCGACGGCGGUGUUUGGCACCUCGAUGUCGGCUCAUCACAUCCUGGGGCUGAAGUAGGUCCCAAGGGUAUGGCUGUUCGCCAUUUAAAGUGGUACGCGAGCUGGGUUUAGAACGUCGUGAGACAGUUCGGUCCCUAUCUGCCGUGGGCGCUGGAGAACUGAGGGGGGCUGCUCCUAGUACGAGAGGACCGGAGUGGACGCAUCACUGGUGUUCGGGUUGUCAUGCCAAUGGCACUGCCCGGUAGCUAAAUGCGGAAGAGAUAAGUGCUGAAAGCAUCUAAGCACGAAACUUGCCCCGAGAUGAGUUCUCCCUGACUCCUUGAGAGUCCUGAAGGAACGUUGAAGACGACGACGUUGAUAGGCCGGGUGUGUAAGCGCAGCGAUGCGUUGAGCUAACCGGUACUAAUGAACCGUGAGGCUUAACCUU
rnacentral:rRNA from 1 species